AAGAGGCCGUCUGAAGACCCUCACUCAUUUGCCUGCCGAUUGCCAUGAGAAGGAGCUCCCUUCCCCCACAACAGUUCCGGCUUGGAGAAGGCAACAGUGCAGGUGCAGCCGCUGUACCGUUACGUUCUGUUCCGAACGAGGCCUGGCAAGAACUUGGCAAGGAGGUGGCAAGGACUUGGUGAAGACCCAGCAUGGACCCAGCACAGAGCGGCCUACUGCAAUUCCUGCUUCACUCUCCACUUUUAAGCCCAAUGAACUGUUGGGGUGACUCUGGUGGUCACUGCAGACCCCUCAUCUGCCUCGUUACCACCGUGACAGACGGAGAUCAAGAACACUCUCCCCAAGGACUGAGACUGAGACCCCUACCACAGAGAGUGGUGGUGGGGGCGGGUGGGGGAAUGACAUGACCUGUUCUUCUCCAGUAACUUCAAUGGACUUAUUCUUCAUUGUGUUUGUUCAGCCUGGAUGAUUUUCUGUAGAUACACCUGUUCCCCCAAUAGCAAUUUCAAUAGACUCUCAUUGUUCUUCAAAUGUU